CCUACGGGGGGCUGCAGUGGGGAAUAUUGGACAAUGGGGGCAACCCUGAUCCAGCCAUGCCGCGUGUGUGAAGAAGGCCCUCGGGUUGUAAAGCACUUUCAGUGAGGAAGAACGCCUGGUGGUUAAUACCCAUCAGGAAAGACAUCACUCACAGAAGAAGCACCGGCUAACUCCGUGCCAGCAGCCGCGGUAAUACGGAGGGUGCGAGCGUUAAUCGGAAUUACUGGGCGUAAAGCGCGCGUAGGUGGCUUGAUAAGCCGGUUGUGAAAGCCCCGGGCUCAACCUGGGAACGGCAUCCGGAACUGUCAAGCUAGAGUGCAGGAGAGGAAGGUAGAAUUCCCGGUGUAGCGGUGAAAUGCGUAGAGAUCGGGAGGAAUACCAGUGGCGAAGGCGGCCUUCUGGACUGACACUGACACUGAGGUGCGAAAGCGUGGGUAGCAAACAGGAUUGAUACCCCAGUAGUC
rnacentral:rRNA from 1 species